CAAUGGACGAAAGUCUGACGGAGCAACGCCGCGUGAGUGAUGAAGGCUUUCGGGUCGUAAAACUCUGUUGUUAGGGAAGAACAAGUGCUAGUUGAAUAAGCUGGCACCUUGACGGUACCUAACCAGAAAGCCACGGCUAACUACGUGCCAGCAGCCGCGGUAAUACGUAGGUGGCAAGCGUUAUCCGGAAUUAUUGGGCGUAAAGCGCGCGCAGGUGGUUUCUUAAGUCUGAUGUGAAAGCCCACGGCUCAACCGUGGAGGGUCAUUGGAAACUGGGAGACUUGAGUGCAGAAGAGGAAAGUGGAAUUCCAUGUGUAGCGGUGAAAUGCGUAGAGAUAUGGAGGAACACCAGUGGCGAAGGCGACUUUCUGGUCUGUAACUGACACUGAGGCGCGAAAGCGUGGGGAGCAAACAGGAUUAGAUACCCUGGUAGUCCACGCCGUAAACGAUGAGUGCUAAGUGUUAGAGGGUUUCCGCCCUUUAGUGCUGAAGUUAACGCAUUAAGCACUCCGCCUGGGGA
rnacentral:rRNA from 1 species